UAUAGUCUGAAGGGGAGAAAAGCAAAGCGGGCAUUUAAAGAACUUGCUGUCUCGAAAAUUGUUAUCAAGGCCUGUCUACGUGUUCACAAAGGUGUAAGUGAAAUAGACAUCGAGGAACAAAUUGCAGAGUAUUUGAAGCAUGCUCCACAGAAAUCCGGUGGCUCUAGAUACAAGGAUCGUAGGAACCAGGAGCAAGGAAGUGCAUAACUU